UACGAAGGGGGCUAGCGUUGUUCGGAAUUACUGGGCGUAAAGCGCACGUAGGCGGGUCGUUAAGUCAGGGGUGAAAUCCCGGAGCUCAACUCCGGAACUGCCUUUGAUACUGGCGAUCUUGAGAUCGGAAGAGGUGAGUGGAAUUCCCAGUGUAGAGGUGAAAUUCGUAGAUAUUGGGAAGAACACCAGUGGCGAAGGCGGCUCACUGGUCCGGUACUGACGCUGAGGUGCGAAAGCGUGGGGAGCAAACAGG
rnacentral:rRNA from 1 species